UACAGAGGGGGCAAGCGUUGUUCGGAAUUACUGGGCGUAAAGGGCGCGUAGGCGGCCUGCUAAGUCGAACGUGAAAUCCCCGAGCUCAACUCGGGAACUGCGUCCGAUACUGGCAGGCUUGAAUCCGGGAGAGGGAUGCGGAAUUCCAGGUGUAGCGGUGAAAUGCGUAGAUAUCUGGAGGAACACCGGUGGCGAAGGCGGCAUCCUGGACCGGCGUUGACGCUGAGGCGCGAAAGCCAGGGGAGCAAACGGG
rnacentral:rRNA from 1 species